CCUACGGGUGGCAGCAGUGGGGAAUAUUGGACAAUGGGGGCAACCCUGAUCCAGCCAUGCCGCGUGUGUGAAGAAGGCCCUCGGGUUGUAAAGCACUUUCAGUGAGGAAGAACGCCUGGUGGUUAAUACCCAUCAGGAAAGACAUCACUCACAGAAGAAGCACCGGCUAACUCCGUGCCAGCAGCUGCGGUAAUACGGAGGGUGCGAGCGUUAAUCGGAAUUACUGGGCGUAAAGCGCGCGUAGGUGGCUUGAUAAGCCGGUUGUGAAAGCCCCGGGCUCAACCUGGGAACGGCAUCCGGAACUGUCAAGCUAGAGUGCAGGAGAGGAAGGUAGAAUUCCCGGUGUAGCGGUGAAAUGCGUAGAGAUCGGGAGGAAUACCAGUGGCGAAGGCGGCCUUCUGGACUGACACUGACACUGAGGUGCGAAAGCGUGGGUAGCAAACAGGAUUAGAUACCCUUGUAGUC
rnacentral:rRNA from 1 species